rnacentral:rRNA from 1 species
UACGGGGGGGGGCAAGCGUUGUUCGGAAUUACUGGGCGUAAAGGGCUCGUAGGCGGCCAACUAAGUCCGACGUGAAAUCCCCAGCUUAACCUGGGAACUGCGUCGGAUACUGGAUGGCUUGAAUUCGGGAGAGGGAUGCAGAAUUCCAGGUGUAGCGGUGAAAUGCGUAGAUAUCUGGAGGAAUACCGGUGGCGAAGGCGGCAUCCUGGACCGACAUUGACGCUGAGGAGCGAAAGCUAGGGGAGCAAACGGG